rnacentral:misc_RNA from 1 species
GGCAUACCAAGACAAAGAUGGUGAUUGGCUACUUGCAGGAGAUGUUCCAUGGCAGACUUUCAUAGUAUCUGUUCAGCGUCUGGAGUUGCUAAAAAAUGGAGGUUGAAGUGAUUGAGAGUUGCAGUCAUCAAUUACAUUAUAUGCCUUCUUUUGUAGUGCAACAGAACUGCUAUGGAAUUUGCUUGAUGAAUAAAUUAAAUAAUUAUAGAAAAUGAGUGAAGCAGUGCUUAAACUAGUCCUAUGGAAUGUAAUUUGAGUAACUUGUAGUCUUUCUUGUGCCACUUAUGGUUAUUAAUCAAGCUAAAAAAA